CGUGUGGUCUUCCCAUACAUUUAAUAAAUGCUUGUUGACUGAAAGAACUGUCUCCUAAAUUCUCCCAAAUUUCUAUCCCUUUUCCCAUGCCUUUUUGAACAGAUCCCACCUAAAUUUGCCUUUGAAGCAAAUGCUCCUCCUAUUUCCCAAGAAUUCCCUUUGGUCCCUGCUUAGAAAACUGAGCCCCCCAGAGUUUUCUUCUUAACUUUCUCAUUCU